rnacentral:sRNA from 1 species
GGAUGACCCUGACCGCGAUGGUGUGUUG